UGGUGCCUCUGUCAGACUCCUCCCCCUCUCUUCUCCGCUUGGCUCCUGAUUCAGCCCAGCUGCAACCACUCACUUCAUCAUCACUGCCUGCCUACUUAAGGAGCCCCUGGACCAGUAUCCAUCGCUAGUCCGUUGCCCCUGAUGGUUACCCCAAGCCACGAGUGGUUGCCUGAAGCCGCUGUCAGGAAACUUCAUCUGGACUGUUUCAUCCGAACCCACCACGAGCCUCUGCCGAACCGCCACCUUCUCGAGUCUCCCCCUACGCUGCUGACUCCGGACCCUACAGGCGGAUCCACCAGUGACGCCACAGAAAUCUGCAUCUUGCCUUCCAAACCUCCUGGAACUGUGUUUCUCUUCUGGCCUGGUUAUUAAAUCCGCUUCAUCGUCA